AGAACGAACGCUGGCGGCAUGCCUAACACAUGCAAGUCGAACGCACCGCAAGGUGAGUGGCGGACGGGUGAGUAACGCGUGGGAACCUGCCCAUUAGUACGGAAUAACCGCGGGAAACUGCGGCUAAUACCGUAUACGCCCUACGGGGGAAAGAUUUAUCGCUAAUGGAUGGGCCCGCGUCGGAUUAGCUAGUUGGUGAGGUAACGGCUCACCAAGGCUACGAUCCGUAGCUGGUCUGAGAGGAUGACCAGCCACACUGGGACUGAGACACGGCCCAGACUCCUACGGGAGGCAGCAGGUGGGGAAUAUUGGACAAGUCGGGGGAACCCUGACUCCAGCAAGU
rnacentral:rRNA from 1 species